rnacentral:pre_miRNA from 1 species
GAUUUCAAUUAAAAAAGUCAUCACCAACAAAGAUCUAUAACUCAUAAAGAUCUAUAAAUUUUAUUUUGAUUAUUUCUUAAUCCGAUAAAGUGAUAGUAACAUUAUUCACAAAGUUCACAUAUCUCUCAUCUGGUUUAUAAACUGUAACGCAUAUAUGCCAAUUUUGUGAACAAUGUUACUAAUACUUUGGCGGAUGAAGAAAUGACAAACAUAAAAGUUUUAGAUUUUGAUAUGUUAUACAACUUUAUUGUUGAUGACUUUUUUAGUUAAAAUA